rnacentral:rRNA from 1 species
AAACUGCUGCUAAUACCGCAUGAUACCUGAGGGUCAAAGGCGCAAGUCGCCUUAGGAGGAGCCUGCGUCUGAUUAGCUUGUUGGUGGGGUAAAGGCCUACCAAGGCGACGAUCAGUAGCUGGUCUGAGAGGAUGAUCAGCCACAUUGGGACUGAGACACGGCCCAAACUCCUACGGGAGGCAGCAGUGGGGAAUAUUGGACAAUGGGCGCAAGCCUGAUCCAGCAAUGCCGCGUGGGUGAAGAAGGUCUUCGGAUUGUAAAGCCCUUUUGGCGGGGACGAUGAUGACGGUACCCGCAGAAUAAGCUCCGGCUAACUUCGUG